rnacentral:rRNA from 1 species
GAUGAACGCUGGCGGCGUGCCUAAUACAUGCAAGUCGAGCGAACGGACGCGAAUCUUGCUUCUCUGAUGUUAGCGGCGGACGGGUGAGUAACACGUGGAUCACCUACCUAUAAGACUGGGAUCACUUCGGGAAACCGGAGCUAAUACCGGAUGAUCUUUUGAACCGCAUGGUUCAAAAGUGAAAGACGGUCUUGCUGUCACUUAUAGAUGGAUCCGCGCUGCAUUAGCUAGUUGGUAAGGUAACGGCUUACCAAGGCAACGAUGCAUAGCCGACCUGAGAGGGUGAUCGGCCACACUGGAACUGAGACACGGUCCAGACUCCUACGGGAGGCAGCAGUAGGGAAUCUUCCGCAAUGGGCGAAAGCCUGACGGAGCAACGCCGCGUGAGUGAUGAAGGUCUUCGGAUCGUAAAACUCUGUUAUUAGGGAAGAACAUAUGUGUAAGUAACUGUGCACAUCUUGACGGUACCUAAUCAGAAAGCCACGGCUAACUACGUG